rnacentral:misc_RNA from 1 species
AAAGUCGUAACAAGGUUUCCGUAGGUGAACCUGCGGAAGGAUCAUUAUUGAAUAAAAUUGGUUGUUGCUGGCUCAUAGGAGCAUGUGCACAACUGACACAUUUUAACCACCUGUGCACACUCUGUAGACCUGGAAUAACACUCGAGGAAACUCGGUUUGAGAACUGCAACAGUGCUUUUCUUGCAUUUCAGAUCUAUGUUUUUUAUAUACACCAUAUGAAUGUAACAGCAUGUUGUCAAUAGGUCUUUGUGCCUUUUAAACAAAUACAACUUUCAACAACGGAUCUCUUGGCUCUC